rnacentral:rRNA from 1 species
AACGAACGCUGGUGGCGUGUUUUAUACAUGCAAGUCGAGCGAGGACAGUAGCUUGCUACUGAGCCGAGCGGCGAACGGGUGAGUAACGCGUAAGCAAUCUGCCCCACAAUCGGGAACAACCGUGCCAACGCGCGGCUAAUGCCGGAUAUUGUGUCCUACUGCAUAGUAGGUUAACGAAAGAUUUAUCGUUGUGGGAUGAGCUUGCGUCCGAUUAGCUAGUUGGCGGGGUAAUAGCCCACCAAGGCGACGAUCGGUAGCCGGCCUGAGAGGGUGAUCGGCCACAUUGGGACUGAGAUACGGCCCAGACUCCUACGGGAGGCAGCAGUGGGGAAUUUUGGACAAUGGGCGCAAGCCUGAUCCAGCCAUGCCGCGUGCAGGAUGAAGGCCUUCGGGUUGUAAACUGCUUUUGUACGGAACGAAAAGCUCUCUCUAAUACAGGGGGUGAAUGACGGUACCGUAAGAAUAAGCACCGGCUAACUACGUGCCAGCAGCCGAC